GAUGAAGAACGCAGCGAAAUGCGAUACGUAAUGUGAAUUGCAGAAUUCAGUGAAUCAUCGAGUCUUUGAACGCACAUUGCGCCCCCUGGUAUUCCGGGGGGCAUGCCUGUCCGAGCGUCAUUGCUGCCCUCAAGCACGGCUUGUGUGUUGGGCCUCCGCCCCCCGGCUCCCGGGGGGCGGGCCCGAAAGGCAGCGGCGGCACCGCGUCCGGUCCUCGAGCGUAUGGGGCUUCGUCACCCGCUCCGUAGGCCCGGCCGGCGCCCGCCGGCGACCCCCCUCAAUCUUUCCAGGUUGACCUCGGAUCAGGUAGGGAUACCCGCUGAACUUAAGCAUAUCAAUAAGGAGGA
rnacentral:misc_RNA from 1 species